AAUACAUUUGGGUCGUGAAGUUUGUUUGGGAAGAAGGCCCAAUUUCUUGCCCUCAACCCGGAUCCUCCAAGAAGACCCAAGAAUCGGUCCAAAUCCAUGUCCACACAGCUAGAUGACCAUACAAACUCCACAGGACGAAAAAGCGCCUCCAAGCACGACUUCGUCUUCAAUCUCGCCUUCGAUGCAUCCCUCUCAAGUCCGGAUAUCCAAUGAAAGCUCGAAGGAGAAUAACGAAACACUCCCAAAGUUCGUUCUUGUACGCGAAAUCAAAGGGUCGGGAGGAGAAAAUGGACCUACCGGAUUCGACGCGUUAUUCGUUUGUCAUUCUUCAAUGGGUGUUGAAGAUGGAUGAUGAAAAUUCUAUUCGUGUGAAGAGCUUCAUAUCCGUGAUGGAGAUGAAUGUCGUUGAUUGAGAUGAAGAGAGUUGAAUUUGAUUUCUAGAAGCUUUCCGGAGAUUCGAAUCUCGAUAAAGAUGAAGUCUCUUCCAAAUCAACAAACCAGGAGAGAUGGAUCAAGAAACACUGAACCUUUUGGCUGAAAUGUCGGUUUCUCACUCACAACAACCAUGUGUUUAUUAUCCUCAUCUGAAGAACCUAUCAAAUGAUUUUUAUUGAUGCUACUGUAUUUUCUUUAGUAUUGAAAUCGUCCUCUUGGCGAUCAAUUUGACACUUUAUUUCAGAAGAAGCCUCAUGUACAGAAUCUACAUAUAUAGUUUUCUCAACAACAGGGCUUUCACCUGUUGAUUCAAAUUAAUUUCUGUCAGAGCCUGGUGAUUUAUCGACACCUCUUCGAUGUGGGUCAAUGGCAAUGAAGUGUGGACCACAAUUAGAUGUAUCAAAGUUUGGGAAGUGCUAUGGGCUUUGGAUGCUUACUUGAGUUGGAUGGCUUAUGCAUGGCUGAUUUGGGGAUGCUUGGAACAUGCUUUGGAUUCAGGUUUAGACUUUUUCAUGUUGGAUAUUAUUGUAAUGGUUUAUGUAUUGGAAUGAAUUUGGAUUGUAUUGAUUGUAAUUUUGUUGUAAAAAUGAAUAUGAGGUUGAAUGUAAUGUGGAUUUAGAUCUAUGAAAUUGUGAACGGAAAUCGAAUGGUUUGUGUUAUAAGUUGAAAUUGAAUUGGUUUAUGUUUGAAAGUA